CGGCCUUGUUCUUUUAAUAUGUGUCAUAUUUUUCCCUUUUAACGACGGUGAUUUGUUUGAGUUGGUCGUCUGUUCUCAUCCUCGACUAUUUUUUAGAACUUUAGCAGACUAAACACGUCUGUUUUUAUUUGUUUUCGACGUUGUUUUAUUUAACAACGUCUAAUAUUUAUCGUCGUUUGUUUCUGAAAAUAGGACAUAUAAAUUUUGUAAUACGAC
rnacentral:lncRNA from 1 species